rnacentral:rRNA from 1 species
UACGUAGGGUGCGAGCGUUAAUCGGAAUUACUGGGCGUAAAGCGUGCGCAGGCGGCUCAUUAAGACAGGCGUGAAAUCCCCGGGCUUAACCUGGGAACUGCGCUUGUGACUGGUGGGCUGGAGUGUGUCAGAGGGAGGUGGAAUUCCACGUGUAGCAGUGAAAUGCGUAGAGAUGUGGAGGAACACCGAUGGCGAAGGCAGCCUCCUGGGACAACACUGACGCUCAUGCACGAAAGCGUGGGGAGCAAACAGG